AUCUUUGCGCAGUGGCAGUAUCGUAGCCUAUGAGGUUUAUCUGAGGCGCGAUUAUUGCUAAUUGAAAACUUUACCCAAUACCCCGCCGUGACGACUUGAAAUAUAGUCGGCACUGGCAAUUUUUGACGGUCUUUACGGAGA
rnacentral:snRNA from 1 species